rfam:Otolemur garnettii contig088015, whole genome shotgun sequence.
GCCGGGCGCGGUGGCGCGUGCCUGUAGUCCCAGCUACUCGGGAGGCUGAGACUGGAGGAUCGCUUGAGUCCAGGAGUUCUGGGCUGUAGUGCGCUAUGCCGAUCGGGUGUCCGCACUAAGUUCGGCAUCAAUAUGGUGACCUCCCGGGAGCGGAGGGUCACCAGGUUGCCUAAGGAGGGGCGAACCGGCCCAGGUCGGAAACGGAGCAGGUCAAAGCUCCCGUGCUGAUCAGUAGUGGGAUCGCGCCUGUGAAUAGCCACUGCACUCCAGCCUGGGCAACAUAGUGAGACCCCGUCUCUU